rnacentral:rRNA from 1 species
GCAGCCGCGGUAAGACGGAGGAUGCAAGUGUUAUCCGGAAUUAUUGGGCGUAAAGCGUCUGUAGGUUGUCUAGCAAGUCUAUUGUUAAAGGUUAAAGCUCAACUUUAAAACUGCGGUAGAAACUGCUAGACUUGAGUAUAGUCGAAGUAGAGGGAAUUUCCAGUGAAGCGGUGAAAUGCGUAGAUAUUGGAAGGAACACCAAUGGCGAAAGCACUCUACUAGGCUUUUACUGACACUCAGAGACGAAAGCUAGGGUAGCAAAUGGGAUUAGAUACCCCAGUAGUCCUAGCCGUAAACGAUGGAUACUAAACAUUGCGCGUAUCGAUCCGCGUGGUGUUAUAGCUAACGCGUUAAGUAUCCCGCCUGGGGAGUAUGCUCGCAAGGGUGAAACUCAAAGGAAUUGACGGGGGCCCGCACAAGCGGUGGAGCAUGUGGUUUAAUUUGAUGCAACGCGAAGAACCUUACCAGGGUUUGACAUGGUGUUAAUUCUUUGAAAAAAGAAGUACCGUUCACGGUAGACACACACAGGUGGUGCAUGGCCGUUCUUA